GGCAGUAUAGCUCAAGUGGUAGGGCCCAUGCUUAGCAAGCACAGGGUCCUGGGUUCAAUCCCCAGUACCUCCU
rnacentral:tRNA from 1 species